rnacentral:tRNA from 1 species
GCGGGGGUAGCAAAGUGGUCAAAUGCGCAGGACUUAAGAUCCUGUGACUUAGUGUCUUCGAGGGUUCGACUCCCUUCCCCCGCA